UUCUUUAACCUUGUGGCAAUAUCGUAAACCAAUGAAGGUCUCCUGAGGUGCGAUUAUUGCUAGUUGAGAAAUCCAAAUAACCAU
rnacentral:snRNA from 1 species